rnacentral:rRNA from 1 species
UACGGGGGGGGCAAGCGUUGUUCGGAAUUACUGGGCGUAAAGGGCUCGUAGGCGGCCAACUAAGUCAGACGUGAAAUCCCCGGGCUCAACCCGGGAACUGCGUCCGAUACUGGAAGGCUUGAAUCCGGGAGAGGGAUGCGGAAUUCCAGGUGUAGCGGUGAAAUGCGUAGAUAUCUGGAGGAACACCGGUGGCGAAGGCGGCAUCCUGGACCGGUAUUGACGCUGAGGCGCGAAAGCCAGGGGAGCAAACGGG